GUCUACAACCAUACCACCCUGAACAUGCCUGAUCUCAUCUGAUCUUGGAAGCUAAGCAGAGUAGGGACUGGUUAGUGCUUGAAUGGCAGACA
rnacentral:rRNA from 1 species